rnacentral:rRNA from 1 species
GACGAACGCUGGCGGCGUGCCUAAUACAUGCAAGUCGAGCGAAGUUUUUCUGGUGCUUGCACUAGAAAAACUAGCGGCGAACGGGUGAGUAACACGUAAAGAACCUGCCUCAUAGACUGGGACAACUAUUGGAAACGAUAGCUAAUACCGGAUAACAGUAUUUCUCGCAUGAGAGAUAUUUAAAAGUUGGUUAUGCUAACACUAUGAGAUGGCUUUGCGGUGCAUUAGCUAGUUGGUGGGGUAAAGGCCCACCAAGGCGACGAUGCAUAGCCGACCUGAGAGGGUGAUCGGCCACACUGGGACUGAGACACGGCCCAGACUCCUACGGGAGGCAGCAGUAGGGAAUCUUCCGCAAUGGGCGAAAGCCUGACGGAGCAACGCCGCGUGAGUGAAGAAGGAUUUCGGUUCGUAAAGCUCUGUUGUUAGGGAAGAAUGGAUAUGUAGUAACUAUACAUAUAAGAGACGGUACCUAACCAGAAAGCCACGGCUAACUACGUGCCAGCAGCCGCGGUAAUACGUAGGUGGCAAGCGUUGUCCGGAAUUAUUGGGCGUAAAGCGCGCGCAGGUGGUUUAAUAAGUCUGAUGUGAAAGCCCACGGCUCAACCGUGGAGGGUCAUUGGAAACUGUUAAACUUGAGUGCAGGAGAGAAAAGUGGAAUUCCUAGUGUAGCGGUGAAAUGCGUAGAGAUUAGGAGGAACACCAGUGGCGAAGGCGGCUUUUUGGCCUGUAACUGACACUGAGGCGCGAAAGCGUGGGGAGCAAACAGG